rnacentral:rRNA from 1 species
CCACCUUUGACAUGUACGGAAUCCUUUAGAGAUAGAGGAGUGCUCGAAAGAGAACCGUAACACAGGUGCUGCAUGGCUGUCGUCAGCUCGUGUCGUGAGAUGUUGGGUUAAGUCCCGCAACGAGCGCAACCCUUGUCAUUAGUUGCUACAUUUAGUUGGGCACUCUAAUGAGACUGCCGGUGACAAACCGGAGGAAGGUGGGGAUGACGUCAAAUCCUCAUGGCCCUUAUAGGUGGGGCUACACACGUCAUACAAUGGAUGGUACAAAGGGUCGCCAACCCGCGAGGGGGAGCCAAUCCCAUAAAGCCAUUCGUAGUCCGGAUCGUAGUCUGCAACUCGACUACGUGAAGUCGGAAUCGCUAGUAAUCGUGGAUCAGAAUGUCACGGUGAAUACGUUCC